UACGGAGGGGGCAAGCGUUGUCCGGAAUCAUUGGGCGUAAAGAGCGUGUAGGCGGCUCGAUAAGUCUGCUGUGAAAGUCCAGGGCUCAACCCUGGAAGGCCGGUGGAAACUGUCGGGCUAGGGUCCGGAAGAGGAGUGUGGAAUUCCUGGUGUAGCGGUGAAAUGCGCAGAUAUCAGGAAGAACACCUAUGGCGAAGGCAGCACUCUGGGACGGUACUGACGCUGAGACGCGAAAGCGUGGGGAGCGAACAGG
rnacentral:rRNA from 1 species